rnacentral:pre_miRNA from 10 species
GGAUGCCCAGUUAGUUUGAAUUUUAGAUAAACAACGAAGAAUUUCUUAGCAUAAAUAUGUCCCAAGCUUAGUUUGGGACAUACUUAUGCUAAAAGUAUUAUUGGUGGUUUAUCUGAGAUUCAAAAUUAAGCAUUUUA